GAUCACGCCAUAGCGCCCAAGAUAAACCAGAAAUCCGGCGAUCCACGCGCCGCCCGAGAUCAGCAGCAGCGGCCA
rnacentral:tRNA from 1 species